rnacentral:lncRNA from 1 species
CAGCUAGUCGUGCCAAAAAGGCCUGUGAUACAUCAAAAUGCACAACUCCCUUGGUUCCUCUUUGAACCCUGGCCAGUUUUGGGGGGGGAAACCAACAGGAGAAAGAGAAAACCUGAUGUUCUACUUGACUGUCGCAUAGAUUUGUUUAUUCAGUGGACUUUAGAGACCUCAACUACAAAGUGGAUGCACUGCUGUAGGGCUUCCCAAUUGCCAAGACAGGUUCUCCAAAUCCUCGCUGCAACUGGGGCACCACAACGACUGUGGAUCUGGAUGACGAAAGAAAGUGGUCACAUUUAUUGAAGUUGAGAAUCACAGUAUUACUUCUGACUGAAUAAAAAGGAUCAAAGCAGGCUUUGUACUAUAACUAUCAUGUUUUAUGGCAGAAAAAAAUGAAGCUAAAAUAUUUUUCCCAGUAUUGAAGGCUCUCUGACCUGCCUGAAAGCCAGGUAAGACUCCUAAAGGUAGUUGCCAAAAUUAGCUUCUCUUCAUUAAAUAUUUCCUUUUUGUUGGAGUGGCUAAUCCUAACUUCUCCAGGAGCAUGCUCAUAAUUGUGUCUAAUCAUUCUUAACAGCUUUUCACAAAAGAGUAAAGUGCUUUUCACAUAAGAGUAAUGAGUAAAAAAGAGUUACUAAUACAGCUCUUUUUUUCCUUUUUCAUUAACUUGAUCUCUCAGUGUAUUAUUGUAACUGAACUAAUUACUAACCUUUGCUGUAUUUUAUCAUAAAGUUAAGCUUGAAGUAGACUGUUCCCCAUUCAUUUUGUUUUAAGUCUUCUUAUAGAUAUUUCAGUUUCAAACAGAUCUUCUUCUUCCAACAGAGGAUGAGUCUGCUACAAGAAGCUGCUGAAAUGAUGCAAAGAAUUAAGUUCAUUUAUCUUAACACUGCUUUUAUGAUUCAAUACAGAUUCUGUAGCAGUUUUCCUGUUCCAAACAUGUCUGAGAACAGAUUUAUUAAUAAUUUUGACUCCAUUUGCUAUCUGAUCCUCAAACUGCCGUUUGGUCUGCCUUAUUACUUUUGCUUUUUUUAUCUUCUGAAAUUUGUAAUUCUCUCCCCUGUCUGCAUUCAGACACUGAAUCAGUUUUUCAGAGAAAAUCUUCCUUCUAACAAUGGCUUGUUGUUUAGCUGCAUUAGUUGUGUUUCACCUUUUCCCUUGUCUUUCACACUUGGUCAUAUACCCUGUAAGUAUUUGGUGUUUAAAUGGUGAAGAUUUUUCAAAGAAUUUCCUGUAAUCUGUUAGACUGUGAUUCAGUAAUACAGGUGCACAAAUUUGUACAGUACAAGAUUGGUCCUAUUUACUUCACUAGAAGCACUUACAUUUAAUUCUAAGUCGAAACUAAGCCUGGCUUCUCAUUCUCUGCCUAUAGAGAAAUACCUGUCAUUUCAUUUAAGUGUUCAUUUAAAUGGUAAAUAUCCCAAAGUAUGACGAAUCCAGUAAAUUAUCUACAGGUAAUUGUUAGAAAAGCUUUUGUUUUCUGUUGUAUAAUUAAAAUAAAAAAUGGCUGCAUGACAUCUCUUACUGUCAUUCAGGAAGGAUAAUAAAAUGAGGUAGAAAUGCAUAAAGAUUAUUUGAUGACCCUUCAUAGCUGUUUUCUAAGAUCUCUUUCUCUAUUCUGCUAACACCGUGGAGACUUACUGACUUGUGCAGAUGUCAGUUGAAAUAUUACAGAUUAGAUUGGAUGCAUUCUUAGCAUGACUUUUUAGCACCUUUUAGUACCUUCAGCAUAUUUUAGCACCUUUUCUCACUGUUAAGAUAUGCAGCUACAAUUGAAACUCAGGUUAAAGAAAACUUUGCAUUAUUUUUUACUACUACUAAUAAAGCUAAUUUAUGGGGUCUGCUGCUGUCAACAAUCAUGUAUUGUAGAUUCAUUAUUAUACCAGAUCCUGCUUUUGAGAAAACAUUCCUUUCAAAUUAAUAUUCAGAAAUCCCCCAGUUCUCUUUUUCAAAUGAUGAUAUCUUGGUGUCACCUCUAAACAAUUCUUUAUAGAUUGAUGGAAAAUAACAAAAACAAUAAAAUAAGCUAUUCAGAAAGAAAGCUCUAUUUCACUAAAAUUUGUUUGUUGUAAAAGAAUCCAGGUAGACCUAGUAUGUCAGAGUUUGAAAACUGAUCAGUAAUGUGUUUCUUUACAACUAUUGUUGCCUCUGAAUUAAGUGACCUAAAAUAGAUUUACAAGCAAUUGCUGAGAUAACAAUAAACAGAUAUCAUAAAUAUAGUAGAAUUUUCAAUAUUUUUGAUUACACAGACUAAAUCUUCUUCCUGGUUGCUGGAUUACUAGCUAAAACUCUGUCUCUACUUUUUCUAUCUUGAAGCAGUUUACCAAUUGAAAACAUCUGACUGCAUUGCCUGACCUAUAAAAUCCAGGUCUGAAAAACAUUCUCUGAACUUCCUGUUUAAAUCUAUACUGUGAAGGUUUGACAACUUGAUGGACAUAUUUAAAUAGUACUAGUACAAUACAUACAUUUCACAGCUCUUUUUUUCAUCUGUUUCUCUUUCUUGGGCAAUUUCAUAUAAAUGCCAGUAUCAUUUCUACUCUCCAACUACCAAGAUGUAUGGUAGAUGAGAUAUCUUUGCCUGUAUAUUUUCUAAAAUGCAUUUUUAUGUAGAAGUGAUGGUUAAGAUUGCUUUCUGCAGUAAUUUUUAUGUAGUGCUAUACUCAAAUCAAACUAUUUCAAGUGUUCUGAAACUUUCUUUUCCAAUACAAAAAUAGAUUACUAGUUUGUAUUUUCUUUGAAUAUGCAAGGAUUUGUAUAUAAAUGCACAUGUAUAUAUAUAAGAAUGAAGAGCUUAUUUGCCAUCUUUAACAGAUUUAUUUCUUACAUUUAUUAAAAUAACAUUUGUUUCUCCUGUGUAGCAAAGUGGCUGGAUUGAGUGAAUUUAGGUUCAUUUAGGCUAAGGGAAAAACUGCAACUCUGAAUCUUAGGAGGAGACAAAUAAUUUAUUUUUCUAGUAUUCUUAGUAGAAGUACAAAUGGAGAAGAAAAAAAGCAGGAUAGGAGGAGCUCAUUUGUCUUUCUAAUUAAUAUCCAACUGCUCCUGUUAGAGCAACAGCUUCUCCUAUUUGAUUCUGAGUAGCUUUGGCUAAGAGGAUGCAAACUAAAACUAUGUCCUUGUUUGUUACCAGUAACCUUAAUUUAAAAUUAAAGAAGAUAAUGAAUCUAAAAUUUAUUUUCAGAAUUCUACUAUGCAGUUGGUGGAGUUGAUUCUACUCAUAAAAACAAAGUCAAUUUUUUUCAAACGCUCUCACCAACAUAGCUGCUCUCCAUUACUGCUGAGCUGUUGAUUAUUCACAUGAACUCUCUCUUUAGCAAGAUGCAUAUUUUCUUCCACAUUUUAUGAAGUUUGAAAUUACCAGUUAUUAACAUUUAUCAAUUAACUCAUCAAUCUACUAUUAUUAAAAUAACUAUUGCUACUGAAGAGAUUUUAUAACAUAAUGAACAAACAAGCACGGACUAUCCAAUCUUUCACAACAGCAUAUUCUUUAAAAAAGGACUCCAGUUUUUCUAGAGAUGGACUUUCCAACUAGAAUUUUUUGUAUAUUUCUCGUAGCUGAUUAAGUUUUUUGACUUCACAAUGUAUGUAAUGUGCGUAGUAACUGACCUGGGAAAUAUAUUACAGAACCAGGAAAUAAAACGCAUACCUUAAUUUUUCAGAUUAGUGGGCUCAGAAAUGCUAAAAAGUUCUAGGAAAGACUGCAAAUAGCAUUAUGAGAUGAAACCUACUUCAAUAGUUUGUCUCCUGUGAAGACCGGAAAAUAUCAUCUGCAGGAGCACAAAUAUUUCAGAAAUCUUACAGUUAUCUCAAUCUUUUCACCACAAUAGUGGUGUUGCUGUAGAAUUCAAGUUUGCAAGCAGACACUUCAAAAUUUUAUUAGAGUUUCUACUGUAUUCAGAAUUACCAAGAUUAGUGUUUUCUGGUAUAUAACAAGUGCUUUGGAAUUCUCUAAAGUGUAGAUCAAAUGUAAUAAUAAUUCUAUCAACCAUUAUAUCUUUAUGUAGUUUCUUUUUCACACAAUGAAAGCUCAUCAAAUACAUCACGAAGAACUAGUUAUAACUUAGAAAUGCUUCAUAUUGUGACAAAAUAUCACAGACAUAAAGAAAUAUCUAAAUACAUUUCACUGCAUAUUUUCUUGUGAAGUGGGACAAUUUGUCUCUGACAGGCUUCAGCUUUAUCAUGAGUAGUCAGGUGGGUUCACUAAAAGUAAGAUUCUUUCUUGUAGUACUACCAAGACUUGCUUCAGUGAGGGAGAACCUUGUUUGACUUUUUGUUCCUUAUGUUAUACUAAUUUGAAACUAUGCUCUAAUUACAGCAUUUUUCCCCCUUUCAAAUGUGAUCCCAGAUAAUAGUACCUCUGAAAGUUCUUGGCUCUCUGUCAAUUGAUUUGGCAGCUAGGUUUCUAAUAAAUCCAGAUGGAAAAAAUAAGAACUGUACUCCCCCUGAGUUUUUAAUAUGACAAUAUAAUUCUUUAAUCAGGUUAUUGAAGCAGUAAUUAAAUUUUAUUGCAAACAGUGUUAUAAUUGUGCUAUCUGAAUAGAGGAGAAUACUGAGUCUUUACAAUAUGCUUCAUGCAUAGCAUGUAUUCCCUUUAAUUUACACAUACUCACACAACUGCUCCCCACAGCUGAGGAAGCAGGUAAACUUUGUCUCACAUCUGACAUGCAAUUCUCAGAAUGUCAGUCACUUCUGAUUUUCAAGUGCUUGAAAGAAAAAAAAAAUGCAAAACAUUUGGAAUCUCCUCUCUUUGGACAUAGUCAAAAUCUGAGUGGACAGCUUUGAGCAACCUGCUUUAGUUAAUCCUGUCCUGAGCAAAUGUGAGAGACUAUUCUUUUAUAUGAUUGACUCAAAGUUUGCUGAGGAACAAGUCCAGGCAAGUCCUGGGCAAAGGUAGAGAAAUCUUUUGUCUGGAGGACACUGAUGGACAGGUCCUGGCUAAGGAUUGUGAAAUCCUCUAAGGAGCACAGAUGGACAAGGCCAGGGGCAACGAGAGAGAGAUAAGCUGCUGCUAAUGGCCGGGAAACGGUCUUUUGUGUGGAUUUAUCUCGAGGAAGAUGGCCAUCUCAGGAGGUAUGCACAUGACUCUUGCUCAAGCACCCAGGGAUGUCACGUAGGCAGGAGAAAAUGGAGGAUAAAGGAGGGUCCAACAACCACGGCAGAUGAGAGAGGCUGAUCUCUCACCACGACAGACCAGUGAAGGGUUUCUGCCAUCAGAUCCCUCACCACGACGGACUCGAGGUUUCUGCCUUCAGAUCCUUCUCUACGGACCGUAUGCUGACGGACUUCCCUGGGCCUGCUACCUGAGACUUACUCGGCGGCUUCUUCCUGGACCCACCCGGACCACCCUGGACCACCACUCAACUGUUACAUUGGGAUGGGAAAUUAUUAAUGAAAUCACUACUAAAUGACAAAAAUCAUCUUCCACAGCAAGUGGUUCAAGUCUCACCAACACGGAAAGGAGGCUUCUCCUGAUAUUGGGUGGGGCUGAAAAGAAAAGGUACUUAUCACCAGGAGAAGGUUCAAGAUCAACCAACUGCCUGAGCUGGUCUCCCUUUUUACCAGUUCUGUCUGGGGGAAUGCAUCAAAUCUCUCUGUCAGUUUCCAUGAAGGAGCAUCAGUGUUAGCCUCAGCUUAGGAACCUUCAUCACUGCAAGGAGCUAUCACUGCAAAUCUGGCAGAAAAAGACGCACAGAUAGGUGGGAGGAACGGAUCAAAGAGGAAGAAGCUGCUGCCAAUUUGGAAGGAUGGUAGUGUCCCUUAUAAGAGAAGUAUGUCAGUAUAGUGGGUGGUAGGCAGAGAGCAGUAGAGUUUCCUCUCAGAAAACUAGCUGGACUGAUGCAACUGGUAACUUUCCCAGUGCUCCACAUUUUAGAAUUCAGACACAGCUGCUGUGGGGAGAGCAUGCUGCUACUGUGAUAAAAUAGUCUGCACUUGCUGCUGUUCUUUGAAUAACAGAUCUCUGCUGAGCACAGAGGGGCAGUGGUAACUGAGGGUAAUCUGUAAUGAAAAGAUAACUGCCCUGUGUCCCCAGACUUCAGUAUAAAAAUGUUCUUAAUACGUCUUUCUUUGCCAAAUCAGAGGUGAUGUUUCCAUCAACCAACGUAGGAUAAUCUUCUGCAUCAGGCUUUUCAGAGAGGAAACUCUGAGAAAUCUGCAGUGUAAGUAAACAAAGUACGAAUUUUCUGCAAGCUUGCAAAGAUGUCUUCUUUUUCCAAAGCAAUAUCUUUCACUGGCAUUAGAACUGUGUUCUUUUCCAAAGCUGAUUUAAUCUGAACCUUUACCUUUCCAUUAUUCCCUUUCAUAUAUGCCCUUCUCAUUCCUUAUAUUGUUCUCAUUUCUUUUCAUAACAUUUAACUCUGACACUAAAGUCAUACUUGUUCCACGGAGAGGAUGGCCAUUUCUUCCUUUC